GACGUAGGGCGCAAGCGUUGUCCGGAUUUAUUGGGCGUAAAGAGCUCGUAGGCGGCUCGUUGCGUCGGCUGUGAAAACCCGCAGCUCAACUGUGGGCUUGCAGCCGAUACGGGCGGGCUGGAGUUCGGUAGGGGAGACUGGAAUUCCUGGUGUAGCGGUGAAAUGCGCAGAUAUCAGGAGGAACACCGGUGGCGAAGGCGGGUCUCUGGGCCGAUACUGACGCUGAUGCGCGAAAGCUAGGGGAGCAAACGGG
rnacentral:rRNA from 1 species